GCCCAGAGUACCUGCUUUGCAAAGACUUCUCAUUGGGCUGCACUUGGAAGUCUGUGAUUGGACAACCACAUAAAGUCUGGGCGGAGUUCGAAAGGGAAAGUUUGCAAAGGCAGCAAACAAGAGAACUGCAGCUUGGGCAAGCUGGUUUUAGAUAUAUAUUCAUAUAUUCACAAUAUCUACUAAACUGUUUUCUCUUUAAGUGUUCUUGCAUAACCAGACCACUUAAUAUUAUCUCACAUAUAUAUUAUUCUUAUUCUUAUUAUAGCCAAAUUUACCACCCUAACUCCUCCCACAGGUUUUACCCUACAUAGACAGUAAUAUACCGAAACAUGCGGAUUGUUCCCGAUUGGAUUGCCAUUACUUUGUGGAACGUUUCGCCGAAUGGUUCACGGAAUAUCAUCAUUCUUGUGGCGAAAUUGGUCCCAUAGGAAUGAAUGGCAAAAUGUUCAAAACUAGAAUGGGAG